GACGAACGCUGGCGGCGUGCCUAACACAUGCAAGUAGAACGCACAGUUUAUACCGUAGCUUGCUACACCAUAGACUGUGAGUUGCGAACGGGUGAGUAACGCGUAGGUAACCUGCCUGGUAGCGGGGGAUAACUAUUGGAAACGAUAGCUAAUACCGCAUAAUAUUAAUUAUUGCAUGAUAAUUGAUUGAAAGAUGCAGCUGCAUCACUACCAGAUGGACCUGCGUUGUAUUAGCUAGUAGGUGAGGUAACGGCUCACCUAGGCGACGAUACAUAGCCGACCUGAGAGGGUGAUCGGCCACACUGGGACUGAGACACGGCCCAGACUCCUACGGGAGGCAGCAGUAGGGAAUCUUCGGCAAUGGACGAAAGUCUGACCGAGCAACGCCGCGUGAGUGAAGAAGGUUUUCGGAUCGUAAAGCUCUGUUGUAAGAGAAGAACGGGUGUGAGAGUGGAAAGUUCACACUGUGACGGUAUCUUACCAGAAAGGGACGGCUAACUACGUG
rnacentral:rRNA from 1 species